UCAUAUACCUAUUCAUGAUACAUAUCUUUUUACAAAAAAAGUAAAUUUAAUAGCAACACAUCCAAUCCAAAAUACAGUUCCAACUUGAACAUGAAAUUAUCUCUUACGAUAUUCUUCUUGGUGUUAGCAGUCCUAGUUACUGGCUCGACUGGUUGGUGGUGGGGCCGAAAAAGAUAUAGUUGCAGUGAUCCUUCUAGAGGAGAGCCGUACUAUUUUGGAACAACAAAAUUAUUCUGCAUGACGUCGAAAGGUAAGCGAGAUGCACCAUCGCGAGGCACUAAAUCUCUUAGUCAUAGAUGGAUCCUAUACAAAGGAUAUUACUUUGAAAGAUUAAGCAGUGGCGAUAAGUAUACUUAUGGAUCUUCAUCGGACUCUGACAAGUGCUCAACCCAUCGCGAAAGAAAACCCGCCGGAUACAGUUCUCUAAGCGUGGAUUGUAUCAAACGCUGUACAAAUAACUAUAAAAGAAAAUAUGGAUCAUAUGGAUGGUGGGGAAACAACUGCCAUAUAUAUGCAAACCGUAUCUCCGACAUCCUGUGUAACAGAACAACCUGCCCAUCAUGGUGUGUCUGAUGAACUGGAGUCAACAUUUUCCUGCACUAUAUCUGUUAAUUUGUUGAGAAAAAAAGCAUAUCCUCCUCUAAAGACAUAACUAAUAAUUUUGUGAUCAAUACUUUGAAUUCAACUUUUACUCUUGGCUAUUUUGAAAUUCAAGUAAUAUAUAUAUAAUAAAUAUAUAAAGCUU